rnacentral:rRNA from 1 species
GAUGAACGCUAGCGGCAGGCCUAACACAUGCAAGUCGAGGGAGAGGUUAUCUUCGGGUAACCAAAACCGGCGCACGGGUGCGUAACGCGUAUACAAUCUGCCUUUCACAUAGGGAUAGCCCGAAGAAAUUUGGAUUAAUACCUAAUGGUAUAUAAGAGCGGCAUCGUUUUUAUAUUAAAGCUACGGUGGUGAAAGAUGAGUAUGCGUUCUAUUAGCUAGUUGGAGAGGUAACUGCUCCCCAAGGCGACGAUAGAUAGGGGUUCUGAGAGGGAUGUCCCCCACACUGGUACUGAGAUACGGACCAGACUCCUACGGGAGGCAGCAGUGAGGAAUAUUGGACAAUGGUCGGAAGACUGAUCCAGCCAUGCCGCGUGCAGGAUGAAGGUCCUAUGGAUUGUAAACUGCUUUUGUAAGGGAAGAAUAAGGAGUACGUGUACUUUGAUGACGGUACCUUACGAAUAAGCAUCGGCUAACUCCGUGCCAGCAGCCGCGGUAAUACGGAGGAUGCGAGCGUUAUCCGGAAUCAUUGGGUUUAAAGGGUCCGUGGGCGGGCUGAUAAGUCAGAGGUGAAAGCGCUUAGCUCAACUAAGCAACUGCCUUUGAAACUGUCAGUCUUGAAUGAUUGUGAAGUAGUUGGAAUGUGUAGUGUAGCGGUGAAAUGCUUAGAUAUUACACAGAACACCGAUAGCGAAGGCAUAUUACUAACAAUUUAUUGACGCUGAUGGACGAAAGCGUGGGGAGCGAACAGG